rnacentral:ncRNA from 1 species
CUUCGAUGUCGGCUCUUCCUAUCAUUGUGAAGCAGAAUUCGCCAAGCGUUGGAUUGUUCACCCACCAACAGGGAACGUGAGCUGUGUUAAGACCGGCUUGUGACAGGUU